CCCUCCUGGCAAUGGGCAACGAGACUUCUUGUCAGUGGUAUUCCUAUAUCAGUCAGGGACAGAGCAGAUGGCUGUCCUUUGUUCAUUCUAGCUUGAUGCCUGGCUUGGUGGCAAAAGCUGUUUUAUGUCUAGGACUCAUAA